rnacentral:lncRNA from 1 species
AUGCAUUCAGAUCAAGUCAAGUUUGCAUUAUCAUUGCCUUCUGGUAAAAAUAAUCAAAAGAUAAAUGAAGUAGACAAGGUGGAAACAAACAAUGACAAAAAUAUAGUUUUAGAAGAAAAUCAUUUACAUGGAGAACUAUACUACAAUAGUGCAUUCCUGACUCAUAUCAAUAAUACUCAAUCUCUGAGACAGUCUGAGGAGCUUAUAAAACAAAAAAAUAUUUCAUUGCCAUUCUGUGGAAAUGUGCCUGAAAGAAGGAACCAUGCAGCACUUUAUAGGUCAAAACCUCAACCUAAUAUAAAUGAUUUGGAUAAAAAAUGUAUCUCGGAUAUGCAUCAUCACGGUAGCAGCAGCCAAACCAAUUACAUGAAUUUGCAGGGAAGUUCAAGUGGCUUGUCUCACAUUAUUCCUUCACCUCUUGAAUUUAACAGUGAAGGUAACAUAGAGUUUAAGUCAAUGCUGCUUAUUGACAAGACUAAACCUGAAGAAACCGUAUAUGAUGCUGAUAUGGAGUUGACUGCCAGUGAUGCAGGUGAGCUGCUCACAGUUACAUCAAAAGACAAAGAUAAGCUACAUCAAAAUAAAAACAAUAAUGCCAAUUCUGAUAAAAUAUUGGGAAAUUUCAGAAGAGUAAAAUAUUCUAAAAAUGAUAAAGAGAAAAUGAAAAGCAAGACUGAAGUCAGUUCAGAUUUGUAUGCAGAAGAAAGGCACACCAGGGCUGACAAGAGCAAAGUUUCAAAAAUUACUGAGUCACAAACGCAGCUAUUCCAAAGUCAGACAGAACAGCAACCUACGAAGAAAUCUUUACAGAAGCAGAAUUUGCCAAAUACUAAUGACUAUUAUGAAGCACAAAAUUGUCCAAGUAAAACUAGAGAUACUAGGACAUGCCUAAUUAAACUAGCACAUCCAAGAAAAAAAGAACAAGAGAAAAAUAAAGAAACUUUCUCAGAAACAUAUGAAGAAUUGGAAACCAAAAUAAAAGCAGACUCAGAUUCAUCUAAUAGCAAGAUCUCUUCUCAAGUUUAUUGUGCUGAAAGUUUACUGUUUCAGGAUAACACCUCUAAUGUAUUACCUUUACAGCAGGAAUUUCCAAGUGAAAAUGCAAAGCAUAUCAGACCACAAAUAAACAGGAAACCCCUUCAAAACCCUUCUAAAAUAAUCACAGCAAAAUGCUGUGGAGUGGAAAACGGGCAGUAUGGAGAAUAUGGUUCAAAAAUGUCUCAAACAGAGAGGUGCCAAGAUGACAGAAAGAAAAAACAAGACCAGAAGAAUACUAUAAAGAGUAAAUGCAAUAAAAAAGGUAGUAACAGACAAAGAGAAAAUAAUAGUGUUCAUAAAAUUACUGAGGAAGCACAUGGUAACAGUACUAAUUUUUCACCAGGCAGAUUAAAACGUACAUUGGCAAAGGCUGGCCGUAAAGCAUAUAUAAUGCCAACAAAAGAUCUUACACAGUUCUCACUUUGCAAAAGUGAAGAAUUAAAAAAUAAGGAUACAUUGUGCACACAGGCUGCUCAUGGAAAUAAAAUAACUGAAACUCAGCAAUCUCAGGUAGCUUUAAUUACUCAGAAUGGUGUAGCUAUGAAUAUACCACAGGCUACCGCCUCUACACAACAAGUUGAUGGCAAUGUUAAUGCAUUAAAGGGGGUAGAUUCCUCAUCAAUGACAUGCAAAACCCCUAACACUAGUAAUUCUUCUGAAAAUCAAGUAAAGAACAAAGGGAGCUUUACUUCUGGUGUUAUGGAGACCAGACCAGAAAAAAAUUAUUUCAGGCGUACUGAUCAGGUACAGCUGAACAUUUUGGAUGACCAUGAAGUCCCGCAUAAGAUAGAUUCCUUUAUGAGCAAAUUAAAACCUACAGUUGAAAAAUCAGAAUAUUUGAAUUUCAUACCUGUAGAUUUUUCUAAGAAUAUGUCAUUAAAUACAGGUAGCCUUUUCCAGGAAGAUCUUUCCAAUUUGGAGCUCCAAGCUCUUGAUAACCCUAAAUUCCAUUCUUCCGUCAACCUCUGCAUGCUGAGAAACUCUGAAAUCUGGGGGAAAAAUAAUCAAGAUAAAGCACUGGAUGUUGGAAAAGCAGAGCAAAAGGUGGAUCGUAUUUCUAGAGAGACUUUUGAAAAGACUCUGGCACCUGGUCAUGGGAGAACAGCUUUUCAAGAUCUGACAAAUACCAGUGUAUGUUCUCAUGCUUCUUUACCUACAUGCCCUAAAGUUUUAGAAGAAAAUUCAGCAGCACCAGCUAGAGGAGGAAGACCCAAAAUUUGCUACAAAGAGCCCGGUCUAAGAUGCAAAUUAAGGCGUGGGGAUCCGUUUACAGAUACGCAAUUUCUGCAUUUCCCAGUUUAUAAAGUAAAAAAUAGAAGAAGUUUUAAAAGUAAAUCAAAAAUCAUUUGAAGAAGACAGGAGAAAUGCCUUUAUGAACAGUACUUCUAAAAUGGGUACUUUUUUUUCAGAAAGUAAAAAAAAAUAAAAAUGUAGUAUAGAAUGUUUACUUGGUUUUG